CUGAACGCCUCUAAGUCAGUAAAAGAGGUACAAAUCUUUAUUGGGUUUGCAAAUUUCUACCGAAGAUCCAUAAAAAACUUCUCUGGAAUAUGUAAACCAAUAACCGAUACCCUAAAGAAUCAGGAGAAAGGGGUGAAAAAACCCUUUUACUGGGGGCAAGAGCAGGACAGAGCAUUCGAAGAGCUGAAAAGGAAAUUUACGACCGCACCAAUCCUAGCACAUUUCUACCCAGAUAGAAAAACGGUGGUAGAAACCGACGCCAGUAACUUCGCCCUAGGGUGUGUAUUAUCACAAUACCUUGGAAAACGACUACACCCAGUAGCGUUCCAUUCCCGAAAGCUCGACGAUGCCGAACGCAACUAUGAGAUCCACGGCCAUAGGACUCUG
rnacentral:misc_RNA from 1 species